rnacentral:rRNA from 1 species
UACGGAGGGUGCGAGCGUCAAUCGGAAUUACUGGGCGUAAAGGGUGCGUAGGUGGUUUAGUAAGUUAUCUGUGAAAUCCCUGGGCUUAACCUAGGCAGGUCAGAUAAAACUGCGGGACUCGAGUAUAGGAGAGGGUAGUGGAAUUUCCGGUGUAGCGGUGAAAUGCGUAGAGAUCGGAAGGAACACCAGUGGCGAAGGCGGCUACCUGGCCUAAUACUGACACUGAGGCACGAAAGCGUGGGGAGCAAACAGG